AUUGAACGCUGGCGGCAGGCCUAACACAUGCAAGUCGAACGAGUGGCGGACGGGUGAGUAAUGUCUGGGAAACUGCCUGAUGGAGGGGGAUAACUACUGGAAACGGUCGCUAAUACCGCAUACCAUCAGAUGUGCCCAGAUGGGAUUAGCUAGUUGGUGGGGUAACGGCUCACAAAGGCGGCGAUCCCUACCGGGUCUGAGAGGAUGACCAGCCACACGGGAACUGAGAAACGGUCCAGACUCCUACGGAAGCAGGAAGGGGGGAAUAUUGCAAAAUGGGCGCAAGCCUGAGGCAGCCAUGCCGCGUGUAGGAAGAAGGCCUUGGGGUUGUAAAGUACGUUAAGCGGGGAGGCGUUACCCGAAGAAGAAGCACCGGCUAACUCCGUGCCAGCAGCCGCGGUAAGAC
rnacentral:rRNA from 1 species